UCCGUAGGUGGAUAAUUAAGUCAGAGGUGAAAUCCUGCAGCUCAACUGUAGAAUUGCCUUUGAUACUGGUUAUCUUGAGUCAUUAUGAAGUGGUUAGAAUGUGUAGUGUAGCGGUGAAAUGCAUAGAUAUUACACAGGAUACCGAUUGCGAAGGCAGAUCACUAAUAAUGUACUGACACUGAGGGACGAAAGCGUGGGGAGCGAACAGGAUUAGAUACCCUGGUAGUCC
rnacentral:rRNA from 1 species